rnacentral:snoRNA from 1 species
AAGCAGGAUACGUUUCAGUGCUGCUUUUCCGUUCCCCCUGCACACAUAAACUAGUUUCCUACUAUCCCUGUCUGCAACCCACGGCAGGCAGGGACGCUUGGUCUCAGACAC